rnacentral:rRNA from 1 species
GAGGAAGCAGGGGAUCGCAAGACCUUGCGCUUUUGGAGCGGCCGAUGUCUGAUUAGCUAGUUGGUGAGGUAAAGGCUUACCAAGGCGUCGAUCAGUAGCUGGUCAGAGAGGACGACCAGCCACACUGGGACUGAGACACGGCCCAGACUCCUACGGGAGGCAGCAGUGGGGAAUUUUGGACAAUGGGGGAAACCCUGAUCCAGCCAUGCCGCGUGAGUGAAGAAGGCCUUCGGGUUGUAAAGCUCUUUCAGCCGGAACGAAACGGUCACGGUUAAUACCCGUGACUACUGACGGUACCGGAAGAAGAAGCACCGGCUAACUACGUGCCAGCAGCCGCGGUAAUACGUAGGGUGCGAGCGUUAAUCGGAAUUACUG